rnacentral:rRNA from 1 species
AUGGACGCGGAGGCCGGAGAGGCGCCCCUCCUCUCCCACCAGCACAGCCCCAACCAGGUCCCGUCGGCAAAUCACAACGGCAAACCCUUCAACUGGAAGGCUCCUGCUAUUAUCUUGGCGUUUGAGUUCUUGGAGAGCAUUGCCUACGCUGGUAUUGCCCUCAACUUGGUAGUAUAUCUUGGGAAGGUCCUUCAUGGAACUACGGCUUCAAAUGCCGCGAAUGUCGAUACAUGGAACGGCACCACGUUCCUCACGCCCGUUCUCGGAGCAUUUCUUGCUGAUACAUACUGGGGGAAGUACAAGACCGUCGCAAUCUCCAUAAUAUUCUAUCUUACUGGGCUGCUCAUCAUAACUGCUUCGGCGAUCAUUCCAUCUUUACAACCCGCCGCAUGUGAAGGAACUUCAUGCCCUCCUGCCACAGGGUUUCAGAAUUUUGUCUUCUUUACUGCACUAUACCUUGUCUCGGUUGGGACUGGAGGGGUUAAAUCAGCUUUGCUCCCACUUGGAGCUGAUCAGUAUGAUGAUUCAAACCUUGAGCAGAGUAAAAAGAAGCAGGCUUUCUUUAGCUGGUUCUUCAUUGCCAUUAACCUUGGCGUCUUCAUCUCGGGGACAGUUGUUGUAUGGAUACAGCAAAAUGUUGCUUGGUCUCUUGGAUUCGGCAUCUCAUCGAUAUGCCUCAUUAUCGCCACAGUUGCCUUCUUGGCAGGAACACCAAUCUACAGGGUUCAACUUCCUACUGGAAGCCCACUGAAAAGUCUUGUAGCGGUGUUUGUCGCAUCAUUUAAAAAGAGGAAAGUGGAGGUUCCUGCUGAUAGCUCAAUAUUGUUUGAUGGGAAUGAAACCGACUUAACCAAUGAGGCACCAAACAAAUUGGCACAUACCGAAGGAUUCAGGUGCUUAGAUAAGGCUGCCGUAGUCUUAGGGGACCAAGAGAUAAAGGAGAGCCUUUCUGGGCGUCCAUGGAUGCUAUGCACAGUAACUCAGGUGGAGGAAGUGAAGAUCCUUGUUCGGAUGCUUCCAAUAUGGUUCACCAGCGUGUUCUACGCAGCUUCCAUGUGCCAAACGGCCACCACCUUCAUCCAACAGGGGAACAAAAUGAACACAAAGAUUGGAUCCUUCUCCGUCCCUCCUGCUUCCAUGAACUCUGCCUCGGUGGUCUUCAUGAUGAUCUUUGUCGUGAUCCAGGACAGCAUUGUGAUCCCAAUGGCCAGACGAUACACCGGAAACGUCGCCGGGCUCACGCAGCUGCAGCGCAUGGGCGUUGGCCGGUUCCUGGCGGUCCCGGCGCUGGCCGCGGCCGCGCUGGUUGAGAUGUGGAGGCUGCGCAGCAUCAGGGCCGGCCACAACCUGAGCAUAGCAUGGCAGCUCCCCCAGUUCAUGCUCAUCGCCUGCUCCGACGUGUUCUGCGGCAUAGCUCAGCUCGAGUUCUUCUACUCGGAGGCCCCCAUGUCGAUGCGGAGCCUGUGCUCGGCGUUCUCGUUCCUUGCGAUGUCGCUUGGAUAUUACCUGAACUCGAUGAUCAUCUCGGCCAUCGCUGCUCUGACGAAGGGCGGGGGCGGGCGGGGCUGGCUUCCCGCCGACCUGAACGACGGGCAUCUCGACUACUACUUCUGGCUGUGGGCGGGGAUCGGCGCGGUGAACUUUGUUGUGUACACGGCAUUCGCCAAGAAUUACACGGUGAAGAAAGUCGAGCUCCGGUGA